UACGUAGGGUGCAAGCGUUAAUCGGAAUUACUGGGCGUAAAGCGUGCGCAGGCGGUUUUGUAAGUCUGUCGUGAAAUCCCCGGGCUCAACCUGGGAAUUGCGAUGGAGACUGCAAGGCUAGAAUCUGGCAGAGGGGGGUAGAAUUCCACGUGUAGCAGUGAAAUGCGUAGAGAUGUGGAGGAACACCGAUGGCGAAGGGCAGCCCCCUGGGUCAAGAUUGACGCUCAUGCA
rnacentral:rRNA from 1 species